AGCCUGAAUAAAAUGGUUAUUUUAGUAAGUGAGAUUCACCAAUGAUCUAACAAAAGAGAGCUGCUAAUGUAGUUGAGAACUUAGAGCAGUGAGGAUAAAUGUCUUAACCUUCUUUCCUAGAAGAAUGGUAGCUGAGGGAAAGGUCGUUCUUCUUAAGUCUGAUUGGUUCUGGUGGAAUAAAAAAAUUGGGCAGCAGAAGAAGAAAAUAAUAAGGAUGAAAAAAUAAAAGAAAAUCCUGGCAGUCUUCUAUGUAUAUACGCCAUGUUUCCAUAACAAGCACCUGUGGAAAAUAACACAAAAGGCACUUACCAACCCUUACUGUACCACCCUGUGGUUUUUCAACAAAUAAUGUGGAUCUCUGAGAAUCAUCGCACUUCUCUGUUUCAUCUGGAGUUCCUUCAGACCAUACUGGCACACCUUCAUGGUUCCAUUUCUUGUUGAAGUCAGUGGGAAUUUGGAGUCAAAGUGGGCCACCAUGACCAGAAAGGAAGCACGUGCAGGGCUUCUAGAGACUUUUCCUCCAUGAGACCUUCUACAGUCCCUGGGUGUGGAUUAAACCUGACUUCCAAUGGAAACCCAUGGAGAGUAAAAAAGAAAACAUCUGAGCCACAUGCUCCCUUCCUGGUGAUAAGGUAAAAUAUGUGUCUUUUACUGUGAGUUAGAACUUGUGGAGUAAAUACUAGCAUUAUCCCUCCCCAGUGUGGGCUGCUGCAGAGGUGAAGAUGAGCACAACCAGUAAAGCUAGCACUACUAUAGACAUGCUGAAAUGACACUGUGCAGAACUGCAGGGAUAGUGUGUGUCUAAUCCCCUUUGUGCCAGACUCAGAAUCCCCCUUUCCAUGGUUCCUCCAGGAAAAAAAAUGCCUUCUACAGGUUGCUGAAUGGAAAAAAAAUAGCACUUAUGUCUCGCUUGUUCAGCGCCUCUCAAGUUUUGGUCCCAUCUUGCCCUGUUGUGGAAAUAAAAUAUUCUUCUGAAUGUACAGUACCUGUUGUAAAAGACUGUUUGUCAAGUGUCAGUAUAGUCUUUACACUCUGUAAGGAUUAUUACUAAAGGAAUUUUACUGUCUGACAAAAACUGCCCAAAUACCUAACAAAUAACUUCACUGAUCAUGGUUCAUUACUCAGCCAGAAAAAUGUAAUUGAAUUGCUGUAUCUAAUUAAAAGCUAUAAAAUAUUUCAGGAGAUCUAAAAAUACUAGAUGACUGUUUCUAGAGUAUAUAAAAUAAUGUUGUUUUCAGUCUUUUGAUGCACUCUAGGUGUGGGAGUAUCUAGUACCACUACUUUUUUUUGUAUGUUAUUCCUUGCAUGCAGACACACAAACAGCUACAAAUAUGUUGUGCAUAAAGACAAAUGGGAAAUGGUCACUAGAGUGAAUACAUUAUGUAAUAAUGUCUGACACUUCAAUUCGUAACAUGCAGACAGCAGUAAUCCUAAAAAAUCACAGAAUGAUACUGAAAAAACAACAUUAUAGAACAACUU